GGGCCCGCACAAGCGGUGGAGCAUGUGGUUUAAUUCGAUGAUACGCGAGGAACCUUACCAGGGCUUAAAUGUAAGUUGCAUGAAUCAGAGAUGAUUCUUUCUUCGGACUACUUACAAGGUGCUGCAUGGUUGUCGUCAGCUCGUGCCGUGAGGUGUCAGGUUAAGUCCUAUAACGAGCGCAACCCCUGUCGUUAGUUGCCAGCAGUUCGGCUGGGCACUCUAGGGAAACUGCCCGUGAUAAGCGGGAGGAAGGUGUGGAUGACGUCAAGUCCUCAUGGCCCUUACGGGUUGGGCUACACACGUGCUACAAUGGCAGUGACAAUGGGUUAAUCCCAAAAACUGUCUCAGUUCGGAUUGGGGUCUGCAACUCGACCCAUGAAGUCGGAAUCGCUAGUAAUCG
rnacentral:rRNA from 1 species